AUAAUUAGUUUUUUAUGUGUUUUUUAUGCAUAUACUGUUUCUUUAAAAUCAAAUGUAUAUGUUCACAUGUUUGUACACUGAAUAAAUAUUGGCCAUAUGCUUAUAUAUUAUAUAUAUAACAUUCCUUUUAUACCUAAUAACUAAAAAUUAGUUUACGCACUUAAAUGUGUUAUAUUUAUGCAUAGGAUGUGUGUAGGAGUAUUAAAUGCAUUUUAUGCAUAAUGUUAUUAGAAUAGCUUAGGUAGAAAAACAGAUAAAAUUUGAAUUGGUAGCAGUUAAAGGAGUUACGUAUGCAUAUAAACGUGUAUAUAUAUAUAUAUANNNNNNNNNNUAUAUAUAUAUAUAUACAAAUACAUUACGUUUACAUUUACUGCUAGUAUUAUAAAAAUGUAAUUAAAUGUGGUAAAUAUAUUACUUCCAUUUUUAGAUUCAAUUCGUUACAAAAACAAAUAGAAUUAUGCGAAAAUGAAAAUGAUUAUAAUAUUAUAAAAAAAAAAAUAGAAGAUUAUAUUGAUACUUUAAGUCAAACCAAUAAAUUGUUGUGUCAAAAUUCACCUGUUGAUAGAAAUUUAAAAGUUAUAUGACAAAAAAAAAAAGAGCUAUUAUAAAAAAUUACAUGCUAUUCCGUUUUUUUUUUUUUUUUUUUUUUUUCCUGUUUUUAAUAAUACUAUUUAUGCUAUUUGGAGUUUUGUUAUGUUUUUUAUCAUUGGUUUUAUGUAUGUGAUUAUACACUUAUUGAUAUAUAUUGAUAUGCAUGUGUGAGUGCUUGUUUUUAUAUUAAACUAUAUAAAACCACUUACCCUUUUAUAUUUAUUAAAUAGGAAAAUAGAGAUAAAAUAAUAGAAGAUGGUUCAAUGCUUUUAAAAAUUUUUAGGCAAAUUAAAAAACUCAACUUUUCAGCUGUUUUGAGUGAAUUGAAUAAAUUUAAAGAAGAAAACAGUUUACUUAUGAAUUUGAAGCAAAAUGUUUAUCACAAAAAACAAAUAAUUAACAUUUUAAAUGAACAAAUAAAAGAGCAAAUUGAGAACACAGAAAAUAAAAAAAAAAUUAUUGAAGAUAAGAUAAAAGAAAUUGAAAAAAAAAAAAAAAUAUUUUUUAUAAAGUUUAUGAUUUAUUAUAUAUAUAAAGAAGAAUAUGUUCAUGCCAAUAUAACCAAUUAUGAACUGACUAGCAAUUACAAAUAUGAUUCAGUUAAAAAUGCAAAAGAAAAAAUGGAAGAAGAGCUAAAAAGUUAUAAUAGUAUUAAUGAUUAUAUUAAACUCUUUUUAAAUAAAAGAAACGACCGUGUAAGUGUUAAUAAUAUAUCUCCAUGCUUAUCACGUACUAAUUAAAUAUACAACAUUAAUCAGUAAACGCAUAAUAUAUAUAUAUAUAUAUAUAUAUAUGCAAUUUAUCUCCAUAAAUAUGUUAAUCGUAAAUAAAUAUAAAAUUGUAGUGUUAUAUAUUAAAAAA
rnacentral:lncRNA from 1 species